GCCUCCACCAUGUCGUCCUCUGCCCGACCCAUGGUCGCCGCCGCCGCCCCCGCCCCCGCCGGCGGCGACUGGACCGUCGUCCGCCGCCGCAGUCGCCGGCGAGGUGACGCGGCGAGGGAUACCGCCUCCCAACCAGACGCUCCACCGCCUCUCCCCGUCAACCCGAUCCCCUGGGCCCCCUCCGACCCUUCCCUCGACCCCGCGCGCGUCUCCCGCCUCCUCGACCGCGCCCGCGCCGCCAUCUCCCGCGUCGCCGCCUCCCGCCUCUACGGGCGCCUCCUCCUUCCGGACUCUCCGCUCCGCCGCCGCCUCUCCCUCUUCGCUCCCACGCGGCUGUCGCUUCUCGGAGUCGGCAGCUUCGAGAGCUCCCACUCCUCCCGCCUCCAGCUCGCGCUCGCCGCACUCCUCCGUCGCGACCUCCUCCUCCCCCCGGAAUCCUCCGCCCACGCCGAACUCUUCGACCCCGUCCUCUCCGCAGCCGAGUGCGCCGCGGCGGCGGCACUGGGCUUCUCCGUGCCAGACGUCAACGACGGGUGCCGCCGCCGCGCCGACGAGCCCACCCUUUUCUACAUGCCCCACUGCGAGGCGUCGCUCUACGACGCCCUCCUCGCGGCCAACUGGGAGCACCCCUCGCGGCUCCGCCGUGUCUGCGUGCUCGGCAACAGCUUCCGCAACUACGCAACCCAGGCGGAGGAGAACAGAUCGGGCCCAGCCGCCAAGGCCAAGCACGUCCUUGCGGCGGAGCGAUUCGCUUGGGAGCAGCGGGUUGACGAGACGGGCGGCGUGGAUGACGACGACGACGUGUUCGCCCGCGCGUUCAACGAGACGAGCUGGCAUUUCUUCGAGGUGGAUGACGCCGUCGACUUGGCUGCCACCGUUACCGCCACCGCCGCCUCCACCGGAGGAUGGAGAUAAGUCCCAAAGUUAUACCUACAAACUCUUAGUAGUAGUAAUCUGCAGUUAAAUUUAAUUAAACUCUCUUGCAAAUUGCUGGGUGGAGGAGACGAUCGAUGAUUAAUCCAAAGGUGAAGAUAGCUGCGCGGAUGGAGAGGAAGAAGACAAAGGUAUAGUAGCAGGCAGCAAGGUGAAGAAACAAGAAAGAUGCAUCGACUAUGUCCGGCGUGAACACUCUCUGACAGACAUUAACUUUGUCGAGCCAGCAGGGAAGAAUCGAAGAGGGGAAUGAAUAGAGAAUCGAUGAAUUAAUUAUUGGCGCCGUGGAGAAGAUCGAUCCAUCCAUGGCAUGCAUGCAUGACGUUGUUGUGGCUACGGGGCCGGGCUGCCUAGCUAGCUUGCAUCCAGUACUGUACAUGGAUCGUAUUCCCGAGACCCAGACACCCAGAAACCAACCACAAUGGAAGCUACUACAACAACUCUGGUACACACACGGCAGGCAGGCUGGCCAUGAACAGGGAAAAUUAGCUGCUGCUACACCAUUGGGAGCCGUAUGUCUAUGCUGCACCCCUGCACACACACAUGCAAUGUACUGCCGCGUGCCACGGCGUGUUUGAUAUCUUGGAAUCCUACUAAAGAUGGGAGCAUACGGAUUGAUUCGGAUCAAUAUGGAAUUGUUACCUCAUGCUCAUUAUCUAUUUUCCCCUUGGUUAGUAAUAAUAGGAGCGAUGCAAGCCCAUACGUAAUCCUUUGUAUAGACGUUGAGGUGGACGGACACUAAGAUGGAAUAGGCCCGCUAAUAUGCCCAAUGUACCCGCAGCAAUAUGAUGAGAAGCUAUGUUAAAACUAGCUUGAACAUGAAUAACUCCUUUUGUUAUUCUACGUGCACUCUUCCGUAAACUAAAACGCGCAUUCCUACGCAAACCAGUACGUAAAAAAAUCCUGGAUAGGAAGUGGGUCGGUCUCAAAAUAAAUAAGUUGUUAGUUGUAGAAUAUUACUCUUGUCAAACUUGAACUUAAGGAAAAACAGAAAGGUUCAUAGAAUUUUCUUCCCCUUCCCUUUUUCCCGAA